UACGUAGGGUGCGAGCGUUAUUCGGAAUUACUGGGCGUAAAGCGUGCGCAGGCGGUUUUGUAAGUCAGGUGUGAAAUCCCCGGGCUUAACCUGGGAAUGGCAUUUGGGACUGCAAGGCUUGAGUGCGGCAGAGGAGACUGGAAUUCCUGGUGUAGCAGUGAAAUGCGUAGAUAUCAGGAGGAACACCUGUGGCGAAAGCGGCUCACUGGACCACAACUGACGCUGAUGCACGAAAGCUAGGGGAGCAAACAGG
rnacentral:rRNA from 1 species